GUGGGGAAUAUUGGACAAUGGGGGGAACCCUGAUCCAGCCAUGCCGCGUGUGUGAAGAAGGCCUUUUGGUUGUAAAGCACUUUAAGUUGGGAGGAAGGGCAGUAAGUUAAUACCUUGCUGUUUUGACGUUACCGACAGAAUAAGCACCGGCUAACUUCGUGCCAGCAGCCGCGGUAAUACGAAGGGUGCAAGCGUUAAUCGGAAUUACUGGGCGUAAAGCGCGCGUAGGUGGUUUUGUAAGUUGGAGGUGAAAUCCCCGGGCUCAACCUGGGAACGGCAUCGAAAACUGCAUGACUAGAGUACGGUAGAGGGUAGUGGAAUUUCCUGUGUAGCGGUGAAAUGCGUAGAUAUAGGAAGGAACACCAGUGGCGAAGGCGACUACCUGGACUGAUACUGACACUGAGGUGCGAAAGCGUGGGGAGCAAACAGGAUUAGAUACCCCUGUAGUCC
rnacentral:rRNA from 1 species